UACGUAGGGGGCAAGCGUUGUCCGGAUUUAUUGGGCGUAAAGAGCGUGUAGGCGGUUUGGUAGGUCCGCUGUGAAAGCUCGAGGCUCAACCUCGAGACGCCGGUGGAAACCAUCAGACUAGAGUCCGGAAGAGGAGAGUGGAAUUCCUGGUGUAGCGGUGAAAUGCGCAGAUAUCAGGAAGAACACCCGUGGCUAAGGCGGCUCUCUAGUACGGUACUGACGCUGAGACGCGAAAGCGUGGGGAGCAAACGGG
rnacentral:rRNA from 1 species